GGGGCUGCCAGUGUUUAUGCCCUGCUGAGGCUGCGGUGUAUUUGUUUGCUCCAGGAUCCCGCAGAGCAUUUGCUCACUCCUUGAACAAUAAACAUUGGUGAUUGCUGACGAAGGCCCUGGUCCCAGCUUCUCCGAACUCCGGUGAUUUAGAGGUGCCCAGCGGUCUACCGAUGUAUCCCUGCCCAUGGCACAGAGACCAAGGCCUUUAUUAACCCCCCAGAGCCACGUGGAGAACGUUUUAUGAUGGAUGGACACACUUUUUUGGGCUUCAUAAUCUUGACAACUAUUCACUGCCAUUAUAAAGCUUAGAAGAGCUCUGAUUGUAUUCAUCUGAAGAAAGAAAGUCAUAUACACAGAGGAUGGCUUCAGGAACAUAGAAGUUAUGAUGAAGAAUGAAGGAAACCAAACCAUUUCAGUUCCCAUUGACUUUCAUGGUAUUUUUGUCAGUGGAAGUAAAAAAAAAAAAACUUGCUCAGAAGAAAGAAAUGCAUACAGGUUUGAUACGACAUGAGUUUGAGUAAAUUAUUUUUGGGCGAACGCUCCAUUUAGAGCACAAAAACAUUUCCCUCCUUUUCAGAAUGUGUAAAUAAUGCUUUCCUUCUCUUUAACUAAUCUAAACGGUCCCAUAUUUAACUCAAA